GACGAACGCUGGCGGCGUGCUUAACACAUGCAAGUCGAACGGAAAGGCCCUGCUUGCAGGGGACUCGGGUGGCGAACGGGUGAGUGACACGUGGGAGGUGUGCCCUGCACUUCGGGAUAAGCCUUGACAACAGGGACGAAUAGCGGAUAUGGCCUUCCAUGUAGUGGGGGGGUGGGAAGGAUGUAUCGGUGGGGGAUGGGCGGGCGGCCGAUCAGCCUGUUGGUGGGGUAAUGGCCUACCAAGGGGUCGACGGGUGGCGGGGCUGGGAGGGGGGACGGCCACGUUGGGACUGAGAUACGGCCCAGACUCCUACGGGAGGCAGCAGUGGGGAAUAUUGCACAAUGGGCGGAAGCCUGAUGCAGCGACGCCGCGUGGGGGAUGACGGCCUUCGGGUUGUAAACCUCUUUCGACAGGGACGAAGCGUGGGUGACGGGAACUGGAGAAGAAGCACCGGCUAACUACGUG
rnacentral:rRNA from 1 species